GAUGAAGAACGUAGCGAAAUGCGAUACUUGGUGUGAAUUGCAGAAUCCCGUGAACCAUCGAGUCUUUGAACGCAAGUUGCGCCCGAAGCCAUUAGGCCGAGGGCACGCCUGCCUGGGCGUCACACGUCGUUGCCCCCCCAUCUACUCCUUCGGGAUUGCGGGGGGCGGAUGAUGGCCUCCCGUGCGCCUCGUCGCGCGGUUGGCAUAAAUGCCAAGUCCUCGGCGACGCACGCCACGACAAUCGGUGGUUGCGAAACCUCGGUUGCCCGUCGUGUGCGGUCGUCGCGCGUCGAGGGCUCGAAAAAAUUGUCGGGCUCCGGCUCGGCUUUCAACGCGACCCCAGGUCAGGCGGGGUUACCCGCUGAAUUUAAGCAUAUCAAUAAGCGGAGGA
rnacentral:misc_RNA from 1 species